UUUGUUUCUACGGUGUACCCCCUCCCGUUUUCGACGACGGACUCGUCUUUACAAUGCACUUCCCUCUACUGGCUGGAGUGUCAAUUGCUCGAGGAACUGGAAAUUGCAACAACAGGCUGUGGUGGGGCCAAAGAAAAAUCUGGAACAAGGCAUCUGUCCAGGAGGUGUCAGUCAAGGAGAUGCAAGCUACAAUGCUAUUGUUGACCACAAUCCAGACAUUAUCCAGGAGGGAAGUGAUCAGAGAGGGUGAAGAGAGAAAGAUCACCAUGGGUCACCAUGGCAGGAAUAUGCUACAUGCCACGUUUGAGGAAGAUAGCUAGCUAGCUACUCAUGCUAAAAAUGUCUCAAAAAAAAUAGACAAUAAUUUUUUACUUUCAGCAAAUUUGUCAUCAUUUUUCAGAGAGUACAAGGUUUAAAUUGGCAGAAUAUGGUAAAACCUCGAUUUUGACCAAAGUCUCAUUUUCUGUUUUUUUGGUUGUUUGCCAGAAUGGAACAUCAGCGACAUCCAACAAGGCACUCAUUUAUUCCAUAUUUAGUCACAGAUAUUGAUAUUAGAAUGACACGGUUUAAUUCCACAAAAAUUCCUCUUGUUUAUUUCACUAGCAUCAUUUUUCACCACUGUAUUGCCAUACCUUCGGGCUAUUGUUGGCUUUAUCAUGUUGCUAUGACGGAACACAAAUAGAAAGAAUGAAAGAAUAUUUUGAUGAACUCCCAGAUAGACAAUUGUCCAGUGUGUCAUGCCUGGGGGGUGUAGUUGGAGAUGAGACUGCAGGGAGGGGUUGCUUG